CAAUAGCGUAUAUUUAAGUUGUUGCAGUUAAAAAGCUCGUAGUUGGAUUUCGGAUGGGACUUGCCGGUCCGUCGUUUCGAUGUGUACUGGCCAGUCCUAUCUUGUUGUCGGGGACUAGCUCCUGGGCUUCACUGUCCGGGACUAGGAGCUGACGAGGUUACUUUGAGUAAAUUAGAGUGUUCAAAGCAAGCCUACGCUCUGAAUACAUUAGCAUGGAAUAACACGAUAGGACUCUGGCUUAUCUUGUUGGUCUGUGAGACCAGAGUAAUGAUUAAGAGGGACAGUCGGGGGCAUUCGUAUUUCAUUGUCAGAGGUGAAAUUCUUGGAUUUAUGAAAGACGAACUUCUGCGAAAGCAUUUGUCAAGGAUGUUUUCAUUAA
rnacentral:rRNA from 1 species